UAGGUAUCAGCAUGCUUUACGUAUGUAGAGCGCCCCGAGUAGACCAGACAAAAUGUGAUGAUAUUUACGAGCAGUAUUGCGUAAGAUUAGCACGGCGAGGUCUAGACAGAGCAUUUCGUGUGCUGUGCAUGCUAUUAGUGAGAGUUAUGUGAGGCACGCAUUACCUUCCCAUCUUUUAUUACCAAAAGAGAAACAAACAAAGCGCCAGGCAAGCAAACAUACUUAGUUAAUAAGAUGCCGCAUAAUGUGCAAAUGAAAAUGACCAAAAUGACGAGGAAAACCGAAACCCAGUGACCAGUGUCCAGUGACCAGUGAAGAAAAAUGGGCAGCCGAAGACGGUGGGGUGGGGCAUCGUGGUGGUGUUUUGGCAUCGAAUGUGUAACCACUUGAAUUUCAUUUGGCGAAAAGCUUUAUCGAAAAUUAUGCGAAUGCUGCUGACUUCUGGCAAGUGGCUGAGGCGGCGAGCGAUGGCCAGUUCCUCCUGAACUCUCAACUAACUGCUUAGAAGCCUGAUAAAAAUCCAGCACACAAAGCUAAACAAACAGAUAAUAAAGAGGGAAAAUGAUGCUGCCAAACCCAAACCAAAACCCAAACCCCAAGCCCAGGCAUAGAGACAAACCGAAACCGAAAUGAACCGCGUCGCAUCGCAGGCGGUGGGUGAAAGGGGCAGGAGGUCGUGUGGAUUGUGUGGAUGCUUCGCAUAUGUGAACCCCCCGCGUUGUGAGCGUGGCGUCCAGUUGCUGCCCUCUCCCUCUCCAGCGCCCUGCGCUGUGCCGCAGCCUUGGCUCAUGCAUAAUUCAGCAGAAUUCUGAAUGAUUAUUCUUUAUGGGACUGUUUAUUUCUUUUGACCAUUUAUUUCAAGUUGUUUCCAGUUGCUUGCGCUCGGAAUGAUUUCGAGCAACGGUGACGCAAAAAUCAUCAAAUGGACAAACGGCGACUGCUCGGAAGGCACUUGCCUUGUCCUGGCCACUGGCCGCUGGCCACUGCCUGUUGGCUGUUGGCAUCUGCGUUGUCUAUUCAACCAAAAAGUGCCACACCCCCUGGCGGCCACUCAGCCAACCACACAUGACUCUGACAUCCCUCCCUCCUUCUAUGGCCUUCUAUUGUAGCUGCUGGACUGCGCCGCUUUCAACGCAUCAUUUGAUUUUAUUUUAUGUGCCCAAAGUGGCCAAAAAAUAAAUAAAAUAAAA